CGAAAGCCUGACGGAGCAAUACCGCGUGAGGGAGGAAGGCUCUUGGGUUGUAAACCUCUUUUCUCAAGGAAGAAAAAAAUGACGGUACUUGAGGAAUAAGCAUCGGCUAACUCCGUGCCAGCAGCCGCGGUAAUACGGAGGAUGCAAGCGUUAUCCGGAAUGAUUGGGCGUAAAGCGUCCGCAGGUGGCAAUGUAAGUCUGCUGUUAAAGAGUGAGGCUCAACCUCAUAAGAGCAGUGGAAACUACAUAGCUAGAGUGCGUUCGGGGCAGAGGGAAUUCCUGGUGUAGCGGUGAAAUGCGUAGAGAUCAGGAAGAACACCGGUGGCGAAAGCGCUCUGCUAGGCCGCAACUGACACUGAGGGACGAAAGCUAGGGGAGCGAAUGGGAUUAGAUACCCCAGUAGUCCUAGCCGUAAACGAUGGAUACUAGGCGUGGCUUGUAUCGACCCGAGCCGUGCCGGAGCUAACGCGUUAAGUAUCCCGCCUGGGGAGUACGCACGCAAGUGUGAAACUCAAAGGAAUUGACGGGGGCCCGCACAAGCGGUGGAGUAUGUGGUUUAAUUCGAUGCAACGCGAAGAACCUUACCAAGACUUGACAUGUCGCGAAUCCUCUUGAAAGGGAGGAGUGCCUUCGGGAGCGCGAACACAGGUGGUGCAUGGCUGUCGUCAGCUCGUGUCGUGAGAUGUUGGGUUAAGUCCCGCAACGAGCGCAACCCUCGUUUUUAGUUGCCAGCAUUAAGUUGGGCACUCUAGAGAGACUGCCGGUGACAAACCGGAGGAAGGUGGGGAUGACGUCAAGUCAGCAUGCCCCUUACGUCUUGGGCUACACACGUACUACAAUGCUACGGACAAAGGGCAGCGAGCUAGCGAUAGCAAGCAAAUCUCAUAAACCGUGGCUCAGUUCAGAUCGCAGGCUGCAACUCGCCUGCGUGAAGGAGGAAUCGCUAGUAAUUGCAGGUCAGCAUACUGCAGUGAAUUCGUUCCCGGGCCUUGUACACACCGCCCGUCACACCAUGGAAGCUGGCAACGCCCGAAGUCAUUACUCCAACCAUUCGUGGGGGAGGAUGCCGAAGGCAGUGCUGGUGACUGGGGUGAAGUCGUAACAAGGUAGCCGUACCGGAAGGUGUGGCUGGAUCACCUCCUUUUAGGGAGACCUACCCAACUUUGAAAUCAAUUGCAAACAGUCAAUAGAGACAAAGAUGGUCUACUCUAGGUCGGUCGAGAUUGGUGAAGAACUUUCAAAGUAUUCUGUGUUCGGUAAAUAAAAAUGAUUGCAAAGAUCAAUAGGUAAAUUCAGCAAUUGACGUGAAUAACAGUCAAACUGCUGGAAAUACGCCAGCCAGAACCUUGAAAACUGCAUAGUAACGCGAAGAAUAGCAGGCAGUCAAAAAAGUCAAAAGUCAAAAGUCAAAAGAAGGACCCAAAGACGAAAGACAAAAGACUGCAGAUGUGAAACCAAAUGUAUUGUGGUCAAGCUAAUAAGGGCUGAUGGU
rnacentral:rRNA from 1 species